rnacentral:tRNA from 1 species
GGGCUUAUAGCUUAGUGGUAAAGCUCAGGGUUGUGGUCCCUGCGACGAGGGUUCAAUUCCCUCUAGGCCCC